UACGUAGGGUGCGAGCGUUGCCCGGAUUCAUUGGGCGUAAAGAGCUCGUAGGCGGUUUGUUGCGUCUAUCGUGAAAACCUGCAGCUUAACUGUGGGCUUGCGGUGGAUACGGGCAGACUUGAGUUCGGUAGGGGAGACUGGAAUUCCUGGUGUAGCGGUGAAAUGCGCAGAUAUCAGGAGGAACACCGGUGGCGAAGGCGGGUCUCUGGGCCGAGACUGACGCUGAGGAGCGAAAGCGUGGGGAGCGAACAGG
rnacentral:rRNA from 1 species